rnacentral:rRNA from 1 species
AAUUAACGCUGGCGGCAUGCGUAACACAUGCAAGUCGUACGAGAAAGCCCGGUUCGCCGGGCGAGUAAAGUGGCGCACGGGUGAGUAACGCGUGGGUAAUCUACCUCGGUCUGGGGGAUAACGCACCGAAAGGUACGCUAAUACCGCAUGACCCGGCAGGUUUUCGGAACUGUCGGAAAAGGUGGCCUCUACAUGUAAGCUACCGAACUGAGACGAGCCCGCGUCCUAUUAGCUUGUUGGUGGGGUAAAGGCCUACCAAGGCGACGAUGGGUAGCUGGUCUGAGAGGACGGCCAGCCACACUGGAACUGGUACACGGUCCAGACUCCUACGGGUGGCAG